GAGCCCUCAGAUAGAUGAUGGCAUAAGAUCAACGGAUAAGUCCAGACUGGACUAAGGGCUCCUACUCCCUCCAGAAGACUAUGGCCUCAACUGCUUUUUUUAAAGGCACAGGCCUCCUGCUCUUCUUACUACUGGGACUGCAGCCAUCGUCAUUUGUUUCAGGACAAAACACAACCUCGAGUUCCAAUACAACGACCGAUGCUACAACCACGGUGGCUGCAACAAUUGUGUUGUCAACUGACAUGAGUACUGUCUCUGCAACAGCUACGAUGACAGUUACCACAGCUCAAGCUACAAUGUCGUCUGCCAUUUCUUCUACGAAUGCUGCAAUGUCAUCUGCAGGGUUGGCAACUACGAUGGCAGCUACGAGGGUUCAAGGUGCUGCUAAUACGGCAACCUCCAAUUCGUCCAGUGUAGGUUCAAUGACAACAGCCAUGACCUCCACUUCAAGAAGUGUAACCAUUGACAACUCAAGGAAUACAGUGGCGGGUAGUGGAACCCCAAGCACGGACAAUACUACCUCAUGGGGCACCAGUGGCAUGACCAUGAUAUCCUGUCGCCAGUUCUCCUGUAACUACUCAGACUGCUACGAUGUGUACAUGAAUAGGACUUCUGUUUCAUGCAACGCUAAUAUCACCUUCUGUGAGCUGAAGAGACAGGAAGACAUGACUUACACCGGCGGCUGCAGUUCCUCCUGCAGGAAUGCCUGUGUCAAUAACACUCAGACCAACUGUACCACGGGAUGCUGCAACUCCACUGGCUGUCUUCGCUCCACCCUGGCCUCCAUGGUUCGCCCAAACACUACAACAGUGACUACAGUGAUGAUGACCACCACCACAACAACAGCAGCAGCCACCACUACAACUGCUAUGCCAACCAAUAAACUUAAGAAGUGCCAGAUGUUUCAGUGCACAGAGCAGAACUGUUACAAGACUUGGAUAACCAAAGACCCAAUGCCUUGUCCCCUCAACCAGCCCUACUGUGAGUUGAAAAAGAUGACAAUUGGUUCAACAACGAUGUGGAUGGGAGGCUGCAAUGCCGACUGCACAAGAAACACUUGGUGUACGACCACAACAGGUACAUGCCACCAAGAGUGCUGCAACACCUCCAUAACAUCCUGCCUCAAGCUGGAUGGGUCUCUGAACGUUCCUUCUUCUGCCACUAGAGGUCCUCACUUCCCUUUAGCAUUGAUCACUGCUGCUCUGCUGGUUUGUCUACUCAGCAUUGGUUCUCUGGUUUAAACUGGGUCGUGUUCAGUGGGUACAAGCGGAAGAAAAUGUAUUGAAAGAGGGAGGAAAUACCUUGACUUGUCCCUUGCAAAAUGGUUUAAAACAUUGCCUGUUGUGUGACUUAAUGAACAACCCUGAUGUGUUGACCCACUGAGCCAUUGCUUGAAUUUAAACAGUAGCAGUAGUAGUUAGCACGGCAAAACCUGGUUUCCAUUCCACAUGAAUACUAUACUGGUUGUAGGUCUAGCUUACUCUGUUUUUGUUUGUUUGCUUGUAUAUGAGGG
ensembl:lncRNA